rnacentral:rRNA from 1 species
GACGAACGCUGGCGGCGUGCCUAAUACAUGCAAGUUGAGCGCUGAAGGUUGGUACUUGUACCAACUGGAUGAGCAGCGAACGGGUGAGUAACGCGUGGGGAAUCUGCCUUUGAGCGGGGGACAACAUUUGGAAACGAAUGCUAAUACCGCAUAAAAACUUUAAACACAAGUUUUAAGUUUGAAAGAUGCAAUUGCAUCACUCAAAGAUGAUCCCGCGUUGUAUUAGCUAGUUGGUGAGGUAAAGGCUCACCAAGGCGAUGAUACAUAGCCGACCUGAGAGGGUGAUCGGCCACAUUGGGACUGAGACACGGCCCAAACUCCUACGGGAGGCAGCAGUAGGGAAUCUUCGGCAAUGGACGAAAGUCUGACCGAGCAACGCCGAGUGAGUGAAGAAGGUUUUCGGAUCGUAAAACUCGGUUGGUAGAGAAGAACGUUGGUGAGAGUGGAAAGCUCAUCAAGUGACGGUAACUACCCAGAAAGGGACGGCUAACUACGUG